rnacentral:lncRNA from 1 species
AUGAUGUUAGGAACGAUGUUAAGUUUACUGGGAGAUUUACAAUGGAUCAGGCCAGUAGUCGGGAUUCCGAAUGAACUGUUAAAUCCCCUUCGGCCGUUAUUAAAAGGAACUGAUCCUGCUUCAAAAGUGACACUAUCAGAAAAACAACAAGAAAUACUACAACAAAUCGCAUCUUUGAUCACGAGUGUCACGCAUCGACGUAUAUCUGAUAAGCCACUCGAUCUUACCGUUCUAUGUGGCUCAAAAUGCCUGAUGGGUGCCAUAACACAGCAAAAAAUAAAAACGGGGGAGAAGGGAGGAGAAACUGUGGUAUUAGAAUGGAUAGCUCCUCCGUUACAACCUCGACGAAAAAUUCAAGAAAAAAUUGCAACAUUAGCAGAAUUAGUAAAGAAGGGGAGGAAUCGAAUAUUGCAAGUGGAUGGGGUUCCUCCAAAUAUUAUCUGGUUACCCAUGAAACCAGGCGAUUUGGAAUGGUAUAUACAAAACUCCGAAGAGUUACAAGCUGCACUACUACAGGAUGGCGCUACUAUAGUAGCAAAAACAUUACAAUCAACAGCUCUGACAUGGAUGGAAAACCAGGGAUGGAUAACUAAGCCAAAACGAUCCUCUAUCCCGCUUAAGAAUGCAGUGACAGUUUUCACUGAUGCAGGAAAACGUUCUCGAACUGCUGCAGUGACUUGGAAGGAUGAGUAUGGUUGGAAACAUCAAAUUUUACAAGCCCAAGAUAAAGACAUUACAGAUAUUAGAGAGAGGGUGGAUAAAACCUUAUUUGUUCUCAAUCAUUUGUGCGUAUUUGGUGAUGAUGAUGAACCACCCGCGACACGUCAUUACAUUAAGUCUGAAAAUGAUAAUAAAUGUAUUAUGAGAGUACUGUACCGAGAUAUGAAAACGGGACAAUGGCUGCGGCCUGCUGAUGUGAAUUAUAUGGGGCGAGGUUAUGUGUGUAUCUCUUCCCCUACAGGGCCAACCUGGGUUCCUAGUCGAUGUGUUAAACCAGCCAGAAGAAAAGUCAUCAAGUACGAAUAA